rnacentral:misc_RNA from 1 species
AGGCAAUGGCAUUCAUUGAUGUUCCAAAACUUUUCCAUGGAGUUUCAUGGUCGAUGACUCCAGUCUCAGAUGGGGUAGGGUCUGAACUUGUGUAUAUGUUCCAUGGCUUUGAUCUUUCAGAACUAAAUUGGCUCAUAGUCCUGUUGUGUUCUUUAUUGAAACUUCUUCCGACUGUGUGAAAUGCUCUACCAGACUUGCUGUUCAGCAGUUGUUUCUCUAAGAGAUAGAUAUCCUUGCUCAUUUGUCGAUUGCCAGUGGUCCUGACCAAAAAUGAUUUUACAGAUGAAGAUCCAACUUUAACGAGCUGCAGAGAAAAUGUGAGCUCUAUAUCUUAUUAUGAGAAGUAGUAGUAGUAGGUGGAAGGCAUUUGGUUUUGGUCCU